GAACUUUCUCACUUGCCUUAAUUCUGAGGAGAAAGCUACUUUUUUUUUGUUCUGCUGUAUAUAAUGUGUCCUUUGUCUCUGGCUGUUUUCAAUAUUCUCUGUAUUGCUGAUUUUAAACGAUUUGAUUAUGACGUGUCUUGAUGCAGUUUUCUUCGUGAUUCUUGUCUUGCAUUUGUUUAAGCUUUGUAGAUCUGUUGGUUUCAGAUUUCAUAAAUUUUGGAAAUAUUUCAGCCAUUAUUUCUUCAAACCAUUUUUCUGUCCUACCCUAAUUAUGCAUAUAUUAGGUCUCUUAAAAGUUGCUUCAUAGCUUACAGAUGCUCUUCUUUUUUUUCAGUCUGUUUUCUUUUUGUUUCAUUUUGGAUCAUUUCUAUUGCUACGUCUUGAAGCUAACUGAUUUUUUCUUCUGCAACAUCUAAUCUGCUAUUAACCACAGAGAUUUUUCAUCGUUGACAUCGUAGGCUUUGUCUCUCAAAAUCUGACUUACUUUUUUUAAUAUUUUCUAUGUCUCUACUUAGCACAUUUUAUCGUUCCUCUAGCUUUUUGAUCGUACAAAUACAGUUAUAAUAACUAUUUUAAUGUCCUUCUUAUCUAUUAAUUUUUUCAACUGUGUCAAUUCUGAGUCAGUUUUGAUUAAUUGAUGUUUAUCCUUAUUUUGUAUUGUACUUUUCUGCUUUUUUUUUUUUCAUGAACCAGACAUUGUGAUUCUUACACUGCUGGCUGCUGAAUAUUUUUGUAUUCCUGUCCAUUUUGUUUUUUUUUUUUUCUGGUAUGUGAUAAAUUACUUCAAAAUACUUUGGUUCUCUUUGAUCUUGCUCUUAAGCAUUGUUAGAUAGGACCAGUGGAGCAUUAAGUUCAGGGACAAUUUUCCUCCCUACUGAGGCAAAACCCUUCUGAGUAUCCUACUUGAUAAACCAUAAAUUGUGAGGUUUCCCACUCUGACUGCUAAGAAAAUGGGCAUUAUUGUAGAACCUGAUUGAGCUUUGGGUAUAUUUCCCACUAAUUCCUCUGAGUGAUUAUUUAUCAAGCGUGAGUAGUUUCCUCACUGACAUUCAUUAACCAGUAUUCAGCUAAAUACUUGCAGAGGACACCUAGCAGAUUUCCCGAGUUUUCUCUCUUUGCAGCUCUCUCCUUUCAGGUACUCCACCAUGUGAAAUGUAACUACCUUGAUCUCCCUGCUCCCUUUUCCUUAAUUCAGAGAGACUCCUAGACUCCAUGUGGCUUCUUCUGCCUGCAUCAUGGCCUGGAAACCGUCCACAUGAUAGCCUAAAUCAAUCAUAGGACUCACCAGAUUCAGUGAGUACAUGUGCAGGUUCAUUAUCAGCAUGUAUUGCAUGAUGCUGAGAUUUGGAGUACAAAUGAUCUCAUCACCCAGGGUCUUGCUCUGUCACCCAGCCUGGAGUGCAAUGGCGUGAUCCGCUCACAGCGACCUCUGCCUCCUGGGUUCAGGCAAUUCUCCUGCCUCAGCCUCUUGAGUACCUAGGAUUACAGGCGCACACCACCACGACCGAAAAGUGACCUGGAAGGAACAGGCGUAAACAUGGAGGAUCCAGUUGGGCUUUGCAUUUGCAUCCAGGUGGUCGCAUUUUAAAGAACUGAACCGAUGCCAAAUACAGACAGCAAUUUUUAUGGGAGAGACAAACAGAGAGAAGAAAAGGAAAACCAAAAGACAAUAAAAAGACGGGAUACAUCAGAGGAUAAAAGGAGCUCAUUUCCUGUAGAGGAACAAACUCCUUUCCUGUCUUCCUGUCUCACUCCCCCAACCAGGACAGCUCCUCUAUCUACAGCAGGCCCUAAGUCACACCUCCAUUGACCUAAUAAAAACUGGUUCCUAUCAC
rnacentral:lncRNA from 10 species